AACGAACGCUGGCGGCAGGCUUAACACAUGCAAGUCGAACGGGUGUAGCAAUACAUCAGUGGCAGACGGGUGAGUAACACGUGGGAACCUUCCUAGAGGUACGGAACAACGCAGGGAAACUUGCGCUAAUACCGUAUACGCUCGAGAGAGGAAAGAUUUAUCGCCUUUAGACGGGCCCGCGUCGGAUUAGCUAGUGGGUAGGGUAACUGCUUACCAAGGCGACGAUCCGUAGCUGAUCUGAGAGGAUGAUCAGCCACACUGGGACUGAGACACGGCCCAGACUCCUACGGGAGGCAGCAUGGGGGAAUCUUGGACGAUGGGCGAGAGCCUGAUCCCGCCAUGCCGCAUGGGUGAAGAAGGCCUUCGGGUUGUAAAGCUCUUUUACCAGGGACGAUAAUGACGGUGCCUGGGGAAUAAGCCCCGGCAAACUUCGUGCCAGCCGCCGCCGUAA
rnacentral:rRNA from 1 species